rnacentral:rRNA from 1 species
GAUGAACGCUGGCGGCGUGCCUAAUACAUGCAAGUCGAGCGAACGGACGAGAAGCUUGCUUCUCUGAUGUUAGCGGCGGACGGGUGAGUAACACGUGGAUAACCUACCUAUAAGACUGGGAUAACUUCGGGAAACCGGAGCUAAUACCGGAUAAUAUUUUGAACCGCAUGGUUCAAAAGUGAAAGACGGUCUUGCUGUCACUUAUAGAUGGAUCCGCGCUGCAUUAGCUAGUUGGUAAGGUAACGGCUUACCAAGGCAACGAUGCAUAGCCGACCUGAGAGGGUGAUCGGCCACACUGGAACUGAGACACGGUCCAGACUCCUACGGGAGGCAGCAGUAGGGAAUCUUCCGCAAAGGGCGAAAGCCUGACGGAGCAACGCCGCGUGAGUGAUGAAGGUCUUCGGAUCGUAAAACUCUGUUAUUAGGGAAGAACAUAUGUGUAAGUAACUGUGCACAUCUUGACGGUACCUAGUCAGAAAGCCACGGCUAACUACGUG